GCCCCCAUCGUCUAAUCGGUUAGGACACCGCCCUUUCACGGCGGCAACAGGGGUUCGAAUCCCCUUGGGGGUGCCA
rnacentral:tRNA from 1 species